CCUGAUCCCAUGCCGAACUCAGAAGUGAAACGCCGUAGCGCCGAUGGUAGUGUGGGGUCUCCCCAUGUGAGAGUAGGGAACUGCCAAGC
rnacentral:rRNA from 1 species